AACAGACUCUCACAAAGGCAAUUUCAAAAAGAACAGGGAGAUGCUUUCCAAAGUAUCAGCACCGAUCAUAAAAGCCGAUGCUUUUUUGAUUGUUGUCAUUGUAGUGAUAGAAAGGCUGCUAGAGAAAGAGUUUAACUGCCCUUGCAAUCAAAACAACGCCUUUUUUUGCAAUGCGCUUGUUGCUUGUUCAAGUCUCAUUUUCGUUUCUCUCACAAUGCUCAUCCAGAUUCCUCACUACAAGAAACUGCAGAAAUGUUGUGAUUGCUCUCUUUUUAACUGUUUGUUUGGCAUAUGUCUGUCAGCACUUAUAUCCUUGUUUAGUUGGUACAUAACUUGGUACUUUGAUGGGCAUUACUAUGUCUGCAAGAUGAGCACCUGGGAUGGUGUUUGGACAGAAAACUUGGCACGAUUCCCUCACAAAUGGUGCAAGCCUUCAGGUGGCAACGAGACCUUCAUCGAAUUGCAAAGAAUGACGUCUGCAAUGUGGGCCCUUGAUUCUCAGGACAUAUCCAUUAAGCUGUUUAUUGCACUUACUGUGUUUAUUCUUCUCUACAAUAUUAUUCUGAUUCUUAUGACUUUAGAUGAUAAUGAUAGUGAUGGUGAAAAUGAAGAUGGUAAAAAUAAAGAUGGUAAAAAUAAAGAUGGUAAAAAUAAACAAGCUAAAAAUAAACAAGCUAAAAAUAAAGAUGGUGGAAAUAAUGAUGAGCAAAGCACAUUGAAUUGAAUUUCCACAUUGCCAUUGAUCUUUUAAUGAGCACUGAUAAACACAGUGCAUAUCCAUAUCUAAUUUGUCAGUGCAUACAUAGAUAGAUAUAUAUUUAAAUAGGUAGACAGCAUAAUAUGGAGGAUUUGUUUUGUAAUUUAUAUCUGUAUGUGUCAAUCUCUUGGUCAAUAAAUAUGCCAAUAUUUGUCAAUCUAUCUUUCAUUCUAUGUGUUAACCUAUUAGUCAAUACAUGUAUCUGUCAAUGUAUGUGUCAAUCUAUUGGUCAAUAAAUAUUUGUGUCAAUC